CCAAUAGCGUAUAUUAAAGUUGUUGCAGUUAAAACGCUCGUAGUUGAAUUUCGGGAUCAAGGGAUCGGUCAUGCCUUGGUAUGUACUGGUUUCAUUGGUUCUCACCUUCUAAAGAACCAUGAUGUCAUUCAUUUGAUGUUAUGGGGAAUUAGGACUGUUACCUUGAAAAAAUUAGAGUGUUUAAAGCAAGCUUACGCUUGAAUACAUUAGCAUGGAAUAAUGAAAUAGGACAUCAGAUUCUAUUUUGUUGGUUUCUAGGAUCGAUGUAAUGAUUAAUAGGGAUAGUUGGGGGCAUUAGUAUUCAAUUGUCAGAGGUGAAAUUCUUGGAUUUAUUGAAGACUAACUACUGCGAAAGCAUUUGCCAAGGAUGUUUUCAUUAAUCAAGAACGAAAGUUAGGGGAUCGAAGACGAUCAGAUACCGUCGUAGUCUUAACCAUAAACUAUGCCGACUAGGGAUCGGAUGAUGUUAUUUUUUUAAUGACUCAUUCGGCACCUUACG
rnacentral:rRNA from 1 species